rnacentral:lncRNA from 1 species
AACCAUUCUGUUAGAAGGAACAACGUUACAAUGUGAAGGGACUACUAGGUGGAACAGCCAUUCUGUUAGAAGGAACACGUUACAAAUGUGAUGGACUACUAGGAAUGUUGUCCAGGGCCUCCACUGCCACCCUCUUGUUGYCCCUGACGCUGCUCUCCUCCUGGUCGUACAUGGGACACAUGUAGGCUGUUCGCCUCAGGGCGUAGAUGUCCACCUCGUCCUCGUCGUCCCACGGCUGGUAGGGCUGCUGGGAGGGAACGGCYGACUUGACCAGACGGGGUCUCAUCAUGGCCAGCUCUAGGUCACGGGGGAUAUGCCUCAGACCCAGGCUAGACCUCUGAACUCUGACUCCUUUAAAUUACAUGACAUGAGGU